rnacentral:rRNA from 1 species
CAGGUAGUUGGUGCGGGUAACGGCCCACCAAGCCUUCGAUCAGUAACUGGUGUGAGAGCACGACCAGUCACACGGGCACUGAGACACGGGCCCGACUCCUACGGGAGGCAGCAGUAAGGAAUAUUGGUCAAUGGACGCAAGUCUGAACCAGCCAUGCCGCGUGAAGGAUGAAGGCCCUCUGGGUUGUAAACUUCUUUUAUCUGGGAAGAAAAAAGGGCUUUUUAGCUCACUUGACGGUACCAGAGGAAUAAGCACCGGCUAACUCCGUGCCAGCAGCCGCGGUAAUACGGAGGGUGCAAGCGUUAUCCGGAUUUACUGGGUUUAAAGGGUGCGUAGGUGGGCAGGAAAGUCAGUGGUGAAAUCUCCGGGCUUAACCCGGAAACUGCCAUUGAUACUAUUUGUCUUGAAUACUUUGGAGGUAAGCGGAAUAUGUCAUGUAGCGGUGAAAUGCUUAGAUAUGACAUAGAACACCAAUUGCGAAGGCAGCUUACUACACAGUAAUUGACACUGAGGCACGAAAGCGUGGGGAUCAAACAGGAUUAGAUACCCUGGUAGUCCACGCCCUAAACGAUGGAUACUCGACAUUAGCGAUACACAGUUAG